rnacentral:lncRNA from 1 species
UACUAAUCUGGCAGGCGACUGCAUCAUUCAUUUCUCCAAGCAGCGUCAGGUAUGUCUUGAAUGCCUGCUAUGUGCCAGGCACUGUAUUAGGCCCUAGAGCAGUGACCAAGACAGCCCUGGCUGCAGGGGCUGCCAUCUGCUCAGGGUGCCCGCCAGAUCCCAGCCCCACUCACAGAAGCCCUCCCACCACACUUCCUCCCGAGUCCAGGCUGCCUUGGGGUAGCCCCAAGGACUCCAGGUGGGGAAAGCAGAGGUCAGUAAUAGUCACAACGUGAGUGACAGCAUCACGAGACAAGCCGGUUAACAAUGCCAUCUCUUAGUCAAAGGCACAAUCAAGAUGACACCAGUGGGCUAAAAAUAGCAAGCCCCUCUUUAGAGAGGUAUCGGGUGUAGGGGAAGUCCGCAGACCCUGAGGGGACAAACCUGGCCCACAUCCCGGCUUUGCCUCCGGCACGCUAUGUGACCAAGAGCCAAUCUCACCACCUCUCGGCAGCUCCAGUUUUCUCAACUGUAAAAUGGAGGUAACAAUAUGUCGGCCCCUCUUGCAGAAUUACUUCAAAGAUUAAGCUAACAAUGAGGAAGCUGGACUGAACAGGUGGUCCUCAACCUGUCACCUUUCACUUUGCCAACUAUACUUCCUAAAGGCUCGUUCAGAACCAGCCCUGCCUGGCUCAAGAACUUUCAAUGGCUCCCUAUUGCCUGAAGAGUCAUAGCCAGACAACUGAGCCUUGGAAUGUUCCCACUAAUCAGAUGCUGCCUGUCUGUCUGAAGCUUUCCAGAGCAGCCAAGGCCUUCUUUGAAGCAGAGCCCACAUGCAGCACCUCUCCCGGGUCCCACAGAGCACGGCAGCCAAGAGGGCCAAGGCCCCUGCUAGUGCACUCUCCACCACCCAAGGAUGCCUUGGCCAAGAAAGCUUAGGGGUACAAGGCCUGAAGGUGUACAAGGCCUCACCAGCCUCAGCCCCACCCCACUCCCCUAAAUACUGGAGGGAAAUGUGGGGGUGUUUGUGGUUGGAGAAGCACGCCAUUUCCCAUGGUGCUAUCUGAUGCUGACAUUUUCCACUCCACCCUCAGCUGCUUUGCUAAGCAAUGUGGCUCUGUCUCCUGCCUGAGGAGGGGAGCGGAGAGGGAGCCUGCCCCAGAGGGAGUUCCCAGGAGUGGCCGAGGGUCAUGGUAAUGUCUGGGAACGCCGAAGGGGCAGCAUCGCAGAGCACAAGUGUCACCCUGUGAAUGAGGCGCUGUGUUGCCCCCGUUUUACAGACUAAGAAACUGAGGAUUGCGGACUGAAGCGGUUUACUGGAAGUACAUUUAGACUCUGGGCUCAGGCAUGAAAUCCUGUAUACUUACCACCACCCCACACGACCUCCUGAUGCUGCUUAGGACUGAAAAGAAUUCGGAGAUAUGUACAAGGUAUAGAUCUUCUCCGUCUCCCCUCCC